AUUGAACGCUGGCGGCAUGCCUUACACAUGCAAGUCGAACGGCAGCGCGGACUUCGGUCUGGCGGCGAGUGGCGAACGGGUGAGUAAUGCAUCGGAACGUGCCUUUCAGUGGGGGAUAACGUAGCGAAAGUUACGCUAAUACCGCAUAUUCUCUCCGGAGGAAAGCAGGGGAUCGCAAGACCUUGCGCUGAUAGAGCGGCCGAUGUCGGAUUAGCUAGUUGGUGAGGUAAAGGCUCACCAAGGCGACGAUCCGUAGCGGGUCUGAGAGGAUGAUCCGCCACACUGGGACUGAGACACGGCCCAGACUCCUACGGGAGGCAGCAGUGGGGAAUUUUGGACAAUGGGGGCAACCCUGAUCCAGCCAUGCCGCGUGAGUGAAGAAGGCCUUCGGGUUGUAAAGCUCUUUCGGCCGGGAAGAAAUCGUGUGGGCUAAUAACCUGCAUGGAUGACGGUACCGGAAUAAGAAGCACCGGCUAACUAC
rnacentral:rRNA from 1 species